GGUCAGGUCUAACUGUAGCGGAUGAACAGAGGUCAGGUCUAACUGUAGCGGAUGAACAGAGGUCAGGUCUAACUGUAGCGGAUGAACAGAGGUCAGGUCCAACUGUAGCGGAUGAACAGAGGUCAGGUCCAACUGUAGCGGAUGAACAGAGGUCAGGUCCAACUGUAGCGGAUGAACAGAGGUCAGGUCUAACUGGAGCGGAUGAACAGAGGUCAGGUCCAACUGUAGCGGAUGAACAGAGGUCAGGUCCAACUGUAGCGGAUGAACAGAGGGUCAGGUCCAACUGUAGCGGAUGAACAGAGGUCAGGUCUAACUGUAGCGGAUGAACAGAGGUCAGGUCUAACUGGAGCGGAUGAACAGACAUGGUUGGAUUUCCUGUUCAGACUACUGGUUGUUUCCUUGUCUUCUGCACCUGUUUUGGUCAAUAGUGAACAUACUCUCCCCCCCCCCACACACUCACACACACACACACUCCCC
rnacentral:lncRNA from 1 species